CCGGCACGGGUGAGUAACACGUAUCCAACCUGCCGUCUACUCUUGGCCAGCCUUCUGAAGGAAGAUUAAUCCAGGAUGGCAUCAUGAGUUCACAUGUCCGCAUGAUUAAAGGUAUUUCCGGUAGACGAUGGGGAUGCGUUCCAUUAGAUAGUAGGCGGGGUAACGGCCCGCCUAGUCAACGAUGGAUAGGGGUUCUGAGAGGAAGGUCCCCCACAUUGGAACUGAGACACGGUCCAA
rnacentral:rRNA from 1 species